rnacentral:rRNA from 1 species
ACAUUUUAACGUAAGCUUAAUUGUUAAUCUGCAGAGGUACAGCUCUGCAGAACAAGAUUACAACCUUAAUUAGUGAGUAAAUUUAAUUAAUAACCAUAGUUGGCCUAAAAGCAGCCAUCAAUUAAGAAAGCGUUCAAGCUCAACAAUUGAAUUUAUAUCUUAAUUCAAAAAAUCUAUAUAAACUCCUAAUUUAACAACUGGAUUAUUCUACCCAUUCGUAGAAGAAAUACUGUUAAUAUGAGUAACAAGAUUUUACAUCUCCAAACACACGUGUACAUCAGCCCGAAUCCCAACUGAUAAUUAACAAUUUGAUAAAUCCACAUACUAAAUUAAUAAUUUUCCACCACAUUGUUAAUCCAACACCGGAGUGUAUAUAAGGAAAGAUUAAAAAAAGUAAAAGGAACUCGGCAAACAUAAACCCCGCCUGUUUACCAAAAACAUCACCUCUAGCAUCACCAGUAUUAGAGGCACUGCCUGCCCAGUGACAUUAGUUUAACGGCCGCGGUAUCCUGACCGUGCAAAGGUAGCAUAAUCAUUUGUUCCUUAAUUAGGGACUUGUAUGAAUGGCCUCACGAGGGUUUGACUGUCUCUUACUUUUAAUCAGUGAAAUUGACCUUCCCGUGAAGAGGCGGGAAUACAGAAAUAAGACGAGAAGACCCUAUGGAGCUUAAAUUAAAAUGUCCAACAAAACUUUAACUAAUCCCAAUAGGAACAACAACAUUUUAACUGGACAAUAAAUUUUGGUUGGGGUGACCUCGGAGCAUAACAAAACCCCCGAGCGAUUUAACCAAGACUUACCCGUCAAGGUGAUAUAGCCUAUUGAUCCAAUCAUAUUGAUCAACGGAACAAGUUACCCUAGGGAUAACAGCGCAAUCCUAUUUGAGAGUUCAUAUCGACAAUAGGGUUUACGACCUCGAUGUUGGAUCAGGACACCCAAAUGGUGCAGCAGCUAUUAAAGGUUCGUUU